rnacentral:rRNA from 1 species
UUGGCCUACGGGGCGCAGCAGUGGGGAAUAUUGCGCAAUGGGCGAAAGCCUGACGCAGCGACGCCGCGUGAGGGAUGAAGGUCUUCGGAUCGUAAACCUCUGUCAGCAGGGAAGAACGGUCACUGUGCUAAUCAGCAGUGAAUUGACGGUACCUGACUAAGAAGCCCCGGCUAACUACGUGCCAGCAGCCGCGGUAAUACGUAGGGGGCAAGCGUUAUCCGGAUUUACUGGGUGUAAAGGGAGCGUAGACGGUUAAUCAAGUCAGAAGGGAAAACCCAGGGCUCAACCUUGGGACUGCUUUUGAA